GAUCCUGGCUCAGGAUGAACGCUAGCUACAGGCUUAACACAUGCAAGUCGAGGGGCAGCAUUUCAGUUUGCUUGCAAACUGGAGAUGGCGACCGGCGCACGGGUGAGUAACACGUAUCCAACCUGCCGAUAACUCGGGGAUAGCCUUUCGAAAGAAAGAUUAAUACCCGAUGGUAUAAUUAGACCGCAUGGUCUUAUUAUUAAAGAAUUUCGGUUAUCGAUGGGGAUGCGUUCCAUUAGGCAGUUGGUG
rnacentral:rRNA from 1 species